AAUUUCAACUGAAAAAGUCAUCAAUAACAAAGUUGUAUAAAUCAUCAAGAUCUAUAACUUUUAUUUUGGUCAUUUCUUCAUUCGACGAAGUGAUUUGUAAGAUUGUUCACAAAAUGUACAUGUCUCUUAUAUAGUUUAUAAAACUAUAAGAGAGAUAUACACUUUGUGAACAAUCUUAUAAAUAACUUUAUUGGAUGAAGAAAUAACUAAAAUAGAAGUUGUAUAUCUUGAUGAGUUAUACAACUUUGUUGUUGAUGCCUUUUUCAGCUGAAAUC
rnacentral:pre_miRNA from 1 species